rnacentral:hammerhead_ribozyme from 1 species
AGCCGAAACCGCAGCGCGCAGCCGCGCCUGCGGUCCCGCCGGGAUUAGCUCCGGCGGCUGAUGAGGCAGCUACCC